rnacentral:lncRNA from 1 species
AAUAACCAUAAAAGCCUGAAUUUGGCACUUCACUAAGAUAUUACUUUAUUACCAUUGGAGUGACCGUGCUUUCCUGACAUGUUUUUCUUUCUUUAAGCAGCUUUGAAGUUAAGCAUCUCUUGAGAAAUAAUUCCACUACAUCACUUUCUGAGCUACGCAAGCUCAGACCUUCUCAUUUUGCAGUCCCACACCCUCCCUUUUCGGCCUGAAACCACAGGCCGGGCCGGGGCCACCCAGGACUGGAGCAGAAUGAAUUCCAGGCAAAUUCCGCAGCCAGCCUGGCGUUUCCUCCAGUACAGAGUAGUGCACUAAAUGGUUACAAUAAGCACGGCAGCAUCGACAAACUCUGAGUGCUUUGGACUGGGGAGUAAAGCACUGAAAUUUCAGUGAGCUGGUAGAUGGUGGUAAAGGAAACUUCAAAGGGUCAAGUCUAGACGAUAUUUUCCUGUCUCAGUGAAUCACAUGCAGCCUGGGAGAGAAGAGAGAAAGGAGGCCUGUCAACCCUCAUUGACCAUAGAAUGGAAGAAAUUCUGAAAACAUAAGAUUCCCCGCAAGAUGAAAAAUCCAGUUCCUGCACUAUCCCCACUACAUUAUGUCUAAUGUACUCUCCUUCAGCAUACUCCAAAAUAUCAACAUAUAAUUGGCUUUCAGUAUACCAUUUUCAGAGGAAGAUAUUAGUCAACACUGCUGAAACUGGAACCAUUAACUUUUCAAAGCCUUCCCGAAAAAAAUCACUGUUUUGUAUGAGGAGCUUUAAAUAGGAGGAAGUAUGCAUUUGCCGCUCAGAAUAUACUUUAGACAUCACUUCCAGGUCAAAGCACAGUUCCAAAUUAUUUUUUCCGCUUCCUGGUUGAUAGCAUCUUUGCAUCUUUAAAAUGCUUUUUCAUCACAUCCAUCUACUCAUGUUUGGUCUUUGGUAGCACCUGACUUCAACUAUAACAGAAAGGAGGUACAUAAAUUAACAUAAAUGCAUCAGCAAUGCGAAUGAGAGUUUUGCCACCAAUUCCAAAGGAAAGAGAGUUGUAUUCUCCUUCCCAUUAGAUGAGAACGCAGAGCAAUCUCCUUGCAGUUUCAGGAUCUAAAGGAAUAAUAUGAAUCCUGAUUAAUAUGUUUGGUGCAGCAUGUAAACACUUGAUCUUUAUUCUUUUUCAGCAUGGUGUUCACCAGCAUUUAAUAGUUUCUUUUAGUAUAUGCAUCUAAAAGAAUGGCACUUACUAUAUCAUUUACUGAAACUGACAACAGCAAUUUUUUUUCAGUAAAGCUUGAUCUAAAUUAAAAGGUAAAUUGUAAGAAAGCUGCCUUAUUGUAAUUAACUGUACCAUUCAAAACAGAAACUUGUGUACAUACAUGCAUUACGCAAAAUCAAA